rnacentral:rRNA from 1 species
CUACGGGGGGCUGCAGUGAGGAAUAUUGCACAAUGGGGGAACCCUGAUGCAGCAACGCCGCGUGGAGGAUGACGCAUUUCGGUGUGUAAACUCCUUUUAUAUGUCAAGAAAAUGACGGUAGCAUAUGAAUAAGCACCGGCUAACUCCGUGCCAGCAGCCGCGGUAAUACGGAGGGUGCAAGCGUUACUCGGAAUCACUGGGCGUAAAGGACGCGUAGGCGGGUUGGAAGGUCAGGUGUGAAAUCCUACAGCUUAACUGUAGAACUGCACUUGAAACUUCUAAUCUAGAGUAUGGGAGGGGGAGAUGGAAUUAGUGGUGUAGGGGUAAAAUCCGUAGAUAUCACUAGGAAUACCUAAAGCGAAGGCGAUCUCCUGGAACAUUACUGACGCUAAGGCGUGAAAGCGUGGGGAGCAAACAGGAUUAGAUACCCCUGUAGUC